rnacentral:rRNA from 1 species
CAUGCAAGUCGAACGGCAGCGCGAAGGAAGCUUGCUUUCUUUGGCGGCGAGUGGCGAACGGGUGAGUAAUGUAUCGGAACGUGCCCAGUAGCGGGGGAUAACUGGCCGAAAGGUCAGCUAAUACCGCAUACGCCCUACGGGGGAAAGGGGGGGAUCGCAAGACCUCUCACUAUUGGAGCGGCCGAUAUCGGAUUAGCUAGUUGGUGGGGUAAAGGCCUACCAAGGCGACGAUCCGUAGCUGGUUUGAGAGGACGACCAGCCACACUGGGACUGAGACACGGCCCAGACUCCUACGGGAGGCAGCAGUGGGGAAUUUUGGACAAUGGGGGGAACCCUGAUCCAGCCAUCCCGCGUGUGCGAUGAAGGCCUUCGGGCUGUAAAGCACUUUUGGCAGGGAAGAAACGGCCCGGGAUAAUACCCUGGGCUAAUGACGGUACCUGCAGAAUAAGCACCGGCUAACUACGUGCCAGCAGCCGCGGUAAUAC